GCAAGGAGACGCAUACAGUCAGGGGAGUGCAGGUUCGUGUCCAGGUUGAGCAAAGUUUCCAAUCUUUCUGUGGAGUCCACAUGAAGCGUUUCACUGGCUCUGAUGCUACCGUGGGUUACUUAGACUGUUUAUACUCACAGCACAACGGUGAAACCUACUGGUAGACACCUACAGGGCUAGCUUUUGUUCUCCAGUGGCCGGUUGCUCACUGAUAUCCUCUGUGGAGCACCUGGGUGUAAAGAGGCAAUUGGUUCGGUCAUGGAAUCGGAGGAUGCCCACAGGCCUUCAGUUCUCCCAAGCUGCAAUGGGGAUUGAUCGGGUGAUGGAGCAUUGGACCCUUUAAAUGAGAAAAUAGUGGUAAAAUAGGCUAGACGGUUAACACGAUCUGGAGCUGUCACCCACGGCCGGCAAUAAACCCGGACAACACUGCACUACUUGUUCACUGUUGUUGCACGUAAUAAAUUGUACUUCACCACUCACUUUGGACUGGUGACCGUGUUUGUGUCUAAUUGUGUUUAGUACUGUGUUUAUUAUUUACGGGACUGCAACCCUUUAUCAUUACUGUGCAAUACACAUUGCUGUGUCUUGCAAGCUCUUUAUUAUUUACUGCUUGGUCACCAAAUAAACAAACCAUUUCACCUGUA